rnacentral:lncRNA from 1 species
AUUACUAACAAUUAAACUACAUAUUGGUCCUCAAAUUCUGUAUUGUAAUUAUUAAAAACAGAAUUCAUGUUGCAAACAAUAACGCAACUUUUUAUGUACUCUGUGUAAGAGAAAAGGAAUAUAGAAAUUGUUCCACAUAGAUAAGUUCAAGGCUAACAGAUUCUGGCUAUUAUUACCAAUACCCACAUAUAGCCAUCUAUAGUAGUUCCUUCUCGCUCUUGUAAAUUUCCAGAUUUCAUGGAUCUCUCUAUCAGCCCUUCUCCAUACAUUAGUUUGGUCCAUUAAUUUUCAUUUCCUAAUUCAUUUGAUCCAGUUUCUCUCAAAGAACAUUUAACUUGUUGAGUUGCCACCGGUCCUCCAAGAAUAACACCCAGCUCAGUCAAUCUAAUUUUCAGAAUCCAAAUUACGCCUUGAUCUAAUAUGAAGUCCAAGUUUAACUUGAAAAAUUCAUAAUUUCCACUUGAUGUUGUCGAAAGUCACAUUUCACCCUAAAUUAAAGUUGUACACAUGCCAAGAUGCAUUCUAAAGAAACUUAAGAAGUCGUAGAUGAAAGUUUCCAACGAUUCUCCUGCUCAUGAAGUUAUGGGACUAAUUCUCCCAUUGCCGGUGCUUCCACACCCUUCACAUAAUAGCUGAUAAUUAAAUUCAUAAACAUAGAAUAGAAUCAUUUAACAAACUGCAGGAGUGUCCAUCAGGGUGAAGACACAAUUUUAAUAGACAAAUUCCGGGCAGUACCUAAG